UUGCUUCACAUAGAAGCUUUUGAGAGGGCUUUUAAAAAAUAAAUUAACAUAAGUGGAAAUUUUUCUACAGUUAAAAAGCCUCUUUUCCAACGAGACACCGUGAGGCCUCACAGUAACACAUGCAACUGAGGACAUUUUAAGCUUAAGCUACUGGCAUCAGACAAAGAGGAAUGUGACAUUCUGUGGAAGCAAAUGCAAAAACUAAACCAUCAGAAAUGAAAUGACAGGUAGAAUUGGAAUGUAACCCUCUCUCAGUUUAUUCAUCUGAGGUGGUGUUACUGCAAAUUAAAUAGUAUAAACAUUUUAUAUGGGACCUUUUUAUAUGAGACCAUUCUUCCAAAGUUAGAGGAUAUUGUAGUUCUAUAAUAGUGAAGUUUCUAUUAGCACAGUUUGGGAGAAGACAGCUUGUUUCUGUGAUUAAGAAAGCAGGACAUUUGUAAAGUCUAUAUAUAAUAAUUGGAAAGUAUAUGUAUAUGCAUACUUAGAAGAAGAAAGAAGAAUGUCUGGAGUAUACUGCAGUAACAAGCUAUUAAUAUUGCAGAGAAGCAGACCCACGUCUCCUAAUAACAGCUUUUGGUGCUCACAAAAUCCUUGCCCAACAGAUGCAACCGUGGCUUUAUCAAGGACUUCUGGUGACACUGUAAACCAUGAGAGUGAAAAAAUGCUUCCUGCUGCAGUGUUCCUGCCCCUGCUGCAGGAACAGCACAGACCAGUUUGCUUCAGACAUUAUAUCUUUAUCAGGCUGCGUGGUGAAUUAAAACUAAUGCAGCGCACAGGAGUUUAGAAAAACGUGUGAACUGGUGGUGCUGUGUCCUCUGGCAUUGCAUAUGCAGAUUUAGAUAAAUACCUUUAGCAAAUGCCGAAAGGUGUUAGUAAAUAGGAUCAUUUUGUAUAGUAUAAGAAAGGCUCAACAGUCUAUUCUGCUGGGCUAGAGACCAAAAUGGUUUUAGACAUUUGUUAUCGAAGCUGGAUUUUCAAGAGAAAAUAGGAACUCAAUGGAGUUUUGCAAAUAUGCGUGAAGUUGAAUGUCUGCUUUAGGCAUGUAAUUAUUUUAAUUUGGGUAUGUAAACCAGAUAAUUAUACAUGGAAACAACUAACUGGGCACAUUUUAAUUUCCUUUUACCUACACAGGCACUCAGGAGAAAUCAGAACUCUGCAUUUCCUACCUGCACCAACACCAAAAAGAUCUAAGGAAACUCAGGGGCUGGAUUUGCCCUUCAUCUGGGAAUCCUGGCUAGAAGGGCAGUGCAGCUGGAAUUUCCAUGCAAUAGCUUUUCUCAGAAAUGUUGGAUUUAUUCAGCACGCGAUGUAUAGUUGAUUCACACACGUGCGCCGGAGUGAGAAUCUAGAAGAGGGCCCCACAUGAUUGAUCACCACAAGCAUCAGAAGGAAAUGAUUCACCACAACACUGUAACUGAAACUGCUCCAACACCUGAUUGCAAACUUCACACCAGGGGUCUAAUUAAGUGCUGUACCUGCUCAGAAAUCGCUGGCACACACAGGACACCUCAGCCAGUACAAUUCCAGCUGUGAAUACCCACUACUAUUUUUGGUAGAAAGGUACAUUGCAUUCAGAAGCGAAUGGAGAAGUUAAAUAUGUAUAUAUAUGUUUUAAUGAUGAGAAUUAUUGUUGUAUUAUAACUCCAUUAACACUUUUUUUUUUUUUUUUAAAAAAAAGGUAACAGGACCUCAAUAUAUAUCUGAAAAUAAGCAUAUGUGUAUUUUUCUGUCUCAUGAUAGGACUGUUUUCAGCUUCAAGGUUUUCCUGCUUUUCCCCCGAACUUUAAGGUCUAAUACUAACAUUUGUGAAACAUUUUCAGAAUUGGCAACAUUAGGAACAUAUUGUUGGAAUUUAGAUAUAAACCAGUACAUGAAACACCAUCCAGUUACCCACGCAUUGUGCUCACAACUAAGCCAAUGCCUCAGCAGAUUUAUCAUCAGAAAUACAAGUUUGCAGUCUGCAAACAGACACCAUGUAUUCCUAGCAAAGAGCUUAUACAUAGUGAUUAGAAAUAAUGCAGAAAUAGCUGGCUUUAGGGUGUUUUGUUUGUUUGUUUGUUUGUUUUUGGGGGGGGGGAGGGAAAAACACCUAUUCAAUUCUUUUUAACCUGCCAAUAGUUAUAUGACUGCAAAUUAAUGUACUAAAAUACAGGUUUUUAUAACCAGCAUCCAGCACUGUAGUGUUCUUUUUCACUAUGUGGACCAUGUCAUUUGUUUUGACAAAUAAAAUAUUUCUUCCCUUUCCCCUCUUCUCCUGCUUCCCCCACUCAAUUUAAAUUUAAAAAUAUUUUUGAAUACUGUUUCAAGCAGUAAAAGAAAAAAAAAAAAAGUCCUAAAAUUUGGCAAGAGUGUGGAACAAUUUGGCAAUAACAGAGUGUGAUUUAUCCUCUGUUCUCGUUUUCUAAAUGACUCUGAUAGUUUGACUUGAUGAGAUGAAGAAAUCGGUGAGCUCCUCAGGAAAGCAACAUAAAAAGCCAAGCUGUGAACGCAGUGUCACAGUGACAUCAGUUUGAUGCUCCUAAAAAUAAAACCUAAAUCUCCAUCACAAUCACAGGUCGCACCAUGAGCAAAGUUCAUUAAGCACCUAUAAUAACAGCUACAUUUCUUACUAAUGACGUGUUAUUUUCCCUUUAAAAGCCUGCUAAUUCUGUGUAUGCAGAGAGCUCCAGUCACCUGUGUUAGUGAUGUCUGAGGGAAGAUUUAGGCAAAAUAUUUCUUUAACUUGCCCUAUACAGCGGCUAUGUGUGUAGACCCCAUAGUCCUGGUGUCUGUGCAGUAUUUGCAAAAGAAAGUUCUGUUUUGCACAUGUGCAGCUGGGACGGGCCGAACUGCGGGGCCUUGCCUGCGGUUUUUCCAGGUGCCUUUCUUGUUGCUACGUUAGAAAGGCAGAAUGGCAGAGAGUGCGGGAAUGAGUCAAUCCACAGCUGCGGGAUUUAAACAUACGAUGACCAGUCAUCUCACAGCCUCCCUAAGAUAAAUUACAUAUUGCAUUGCAAAUUUGCCCUAAACUGCCGACUUCUGAAGAUGUUUUUCAAUAGGUAUGCAUAUGCAUGUUUUUAAUGUAAAUGAGAGUUGGAGGACUAAACCAAGGUUUCCUGUGUAUUUUGCCUUCUGAAUUCACUGCAACCCUGAGCUCAGUAGCAAACUGCUAAUUUCAUCCUCAGCAAAUUCAUUUUCUCUGUGUAGACAGUUGGCAAUCUCAUCCAUGCAUGUUUCCAAUAUUAAGCAGAAACCUACUUCUUGUUCACUGCGCUUGAUCGAGAAAGACAAAGUGUACAUCUGGACUUGUCCAAAUUUCUCUAGCAAUCAAGCUCAAGAUUAUGGGUCACACUUUCCAGUUAUCUGUAAUCAGAUAUCAAAUUACUGCUCGAGUUAACUCAAUACUUUAGGAAGGAAAAAAAAAAAUAUCUAGUACUUAUUAAAAAAAAAAAUAAAAAUCACAAACUCAAGAAAUAAAAUUCUUUUUCCUCUAAAAACAGACCAAGGAGAUGUCUCCCAACAUGUCUUGACCACUCAGACACAGCCAGAAGCUCAGAACCAACCUGAAAACAGCAGUUCUGGAGGGUGAAACACUGAACCACCAUCUCCUCCUGGGUCACCUCACUGAGGUUCACUCACUGAUGCCUUUCAGGUGUCCAGGCACAUGCAGCUGGAACCACUAAACUAUUAGGCCAAUUUCAUCAAUCAGUGACAAUUUGCAAUCAAAAUUAAUAGGGAUUGGAUUCACAUGCAAUUGUUUUUAGCUAGUAGGCUCUGCUGCUAUUAUUGCAUAAAUGUUAUGACUCAGAUUUAAAGUUAA